UUCAGCUAAUACGCCAUUGUUAGCCACAUGCUACAGCCCACCGUAGCCUGUGCUACCUGGGAGGUGAAUACAUGGUUGUUGAAACCAGUUCAAGACGCUUAGCUCAUCAUUGAGGGACGCUACAAUAUAAAUAUAAACAUGAAUUUGAUUUAUGAAUGCUUUAGAUUAAUAAGGAGUGUAUUUCUCUACCAUUACUCCAAAAUAUCAGAUCAAUUUGGUUUAAUGUAUAGUAUGCAAUAUGACAAUAAUGUUUCCAUGUUAUGGAGUUGCAAUUCAUUUUAUAAAACAAUUCCUAUGUUCUGUUUUUUAAUCAAGAAAGAUCCAAGUGAAGGUACAGGAGUUUCAUUAACGUCAAUAACUUGGACCGAACACUUUGUUUUGCUUGAUGAAGAGCAGGAAGGGCAGCCUGGAGAGAAAGAGAAGCCGGGUUGAGCCCACUACCAUCAUCCACGUACCACGAGGAAGAUGAGGGAGAGAAAUGAUCCUACCAUUAAAGAGACUGUGAAAAGAGCGUUGAGAACAUCACCACUCUACAGGAAGACACAGUCCAGUAAUGGGUGUCAGAAGUUCAGUAGUGAACGACAGGAAGGACUGAUGCAUGUACUGAGACGGGACGUGAGGGCCUACUCUGCGUGCUCAGAGUUCAAGCCCAGCAGGCUGCAGCGGGCCUGACAUAUUCCGGAACAGCAGCACAGUCUUUGGAUGACUCCUCUGAAGAUGAAAACAUGGCGAGUUCUUCUCAAGUGAAGCAGUACAGGUGUGCCUCAGCUCCACGGUCCCUUCUGCAGCCUCCGCUCCUGAUGCUAACCUCAUGUCUCCAUCACACCAAGCAGCAGACCUGGAGUGACAGACCUUUCUCCAGAGCUGCCCCCUCCCUCUGAAACCCCCCUCUCCAAAACACUAUUGGUGGCGUUUUUAAAGUCUUAUUUGCAUGAGAAUUGUUGAUCAUAACAUUUCCAGCAGAUGCCUUAAUGUAAUGUUUGUGAACAAUAAAUGACAUUGA